AACGGGGCUAAAUCUAGUACCGAAGCUGCGGAUCUCGUAAGAGAUGGUAGAGGAGCGUUCUGUAAGUCUGUGAAGGUGAAUCGAGAGGUUUGCUGGAGAUAUCAGAAGUGCGAAUGCUGACAUGAGUAACGAUAAAGGGGGUGAAAAACCCCCUCGCUGAAAGACCAAGGGUUCCUGUCCAACGUUAAUCGGGGCAGGGUGAGUCGACCCCUAAGGCGAGGGCGAAAGCCGUAGUCGAUGGGAAACAGGUUAAUAUUCCUGUACCACCACGUGAUGCGAUGGAGGGACGGAGUAGGCUAGGUGAUCCGGGCGUUGGUUGUCCCGGUUCAAGGAUGUAGGCAGAGAGCUUAGGCAAAUCCGGGCUCUUAAUGCUGAGAUCUGAUGUCGAGUGUCUACGGACACGAAGUCAUUGAUGCCAUGCUUCCAAGAAAAGCUUCUAAGCUUCAGUCACGUGGGAUCGUACCCGAAACCGACACAGGUGGUCAGGUCGAGAAGACCAAAGCGCUUGAGAGAACUUGGGUGAAGGAACUAGGCAAAAUGGCACCGUAACUUCGGGAGAAGGUGCGCCGGUGACGGUGAUGGACUUCGCGUCCUAAGCUAUUGCCGGUCGAAGUAACCAGGCCGCUGCGACUGUUUAUUAAAAACACAGCACUCUGCAAACUCGAAAGAGGACGUAUAGGGUGUGACGCCUGCCCGGUGCCGGAAGGUUAAUUGAUGGGGUUAGCGUAUGCGAAGCUCUUGAUCGAAGCCCCGGUAAACGGCGGCCGUAACUAUAACGGUCCUAAGGUAGCGAAAUUCCUUGUCGGGUAAGUUCCGACCUGCACGAAUGGCGUAACGAUGGCGGCGCUGUCUCCACCCAAGACUCAGUGAAAUUGAAAUCGCUGUUAAGAUGCAGUGUAUCCGCGGCUAGACGGAAAGACCCCGUGAACCUUUACUAUAGCUUCACAGUGGACUUUGAAUAUGUUUGUGUAGGAUAGCUGGGAGACUUUGAAACCGGGACGCCAGUCUCGGUGGAGUCAACCUUGAAAUACCAGCCUGACAUGUUUGAGGUUCUAACCCAGAUCAGUGAAUCCUGAUCGGGGACAUUGUGUGGUGGGUAGUUUGACUGGGGCGGUCUCCUCCCAAAGAGUAACGGAGGAGCACGAAGGUACCCUCAGCAUGGUCGGAAAUCAUGCAAUGAGUGCAAGGGCAUAAGGGUGCUUAACUGCGAGACUGACAAGUCGAGCAGGUGCGAAAGCAGGUCCUAGUGAUCCGGUGGUUCUGUAUGGAAGGGCCAUCGCUCAACGGAUAAAAGGUACUCCGGGGAUAACAGGCUGAUACCGCCCAAGAGUUCACAUCGACGGCGGUGUUUGGCACCUCGAUGUCGGCUCAUCACAUCCUGGGGCUGAAGCCGGUCCCAAGGGUAUGGCUGUUCGCCAUUUAAAGUGGUACGCGAGCUGGGUUUAGAACGUCGUGAGACAGUUCGGUCCCUAUCUGCCGUGGACGUUGGAAAUUUGAGAGGGGCUGCUCCUAGUACGAGAGGACCGGAGUGGACGAACCCCUGGUGUUCGGGUUGUCACGCCAGUGGCAUUGCCCGGUAGCUAUGUUCGGAAAGGAUAACCGCUGAAAGCAUCUAAGCGGGAAACCUGCCUCAAGAUGAGAUUUCCCGGGCCUUCGGGCCCCUAAAGGACCGUAGAAGACUACUACGUUGAUAGGUUGGGUGUGUAAGCGCUGUGAGGCGUUGAGCUAACCAAUACUAAUUGUCCGUGAGGCUUGAUCAU
rnacentral:rRNA from 1 species